AUCAAACAAGUCGGUCUUACAGCACAAGACUUUUGUUAUUCAACAUUUAACCAAAUUAGUCUCAUUUCAAACCAUUAACAAUGCCGUGCGGAGGUUGCGGAGACGGUGAGUAGCUAAUUUUAAUUUUAUUUUCAUCUUUUAUUGUUUAAAUGGGUGGACGAACUCACAGCCCACCUUGUGUUAAGUGUUUACCGGAGCCCAUAGACGUCUACAACGUAAAUGCCGCCACGCAUCUUGAGAUAUGAGUUCUAAGGUCUCAGUAUAGUUACAACGGCUGCUCGAGCCUUCAAACCGAAUUACUGCUUCACGGCAGAAAUAGGCAGGAUGGUGGUACCUACCCGUGCGGACGUACAAGAGGUCCUACCACCAGUAAAAUUAUUAAUGAAUUAGACCAUCGCUAUACUGUUAGCAAUACCGUUCUUUAUACGUUAUAAAUACGUCACAUAGUUAUAAUGACGAAUACAAAAACAUUCUCAGCGUAACUGUGCUUUAUUAGGUACAAGCGGCCCGCUCCGACUAAGCUUGGGUCUCUAACAAAAACUUCAACGAUGUUUGACGUUAUUUCAUUUUUUUAAAUAAAAGAACACUUAUUGCUCCAUAACUAUAAUAGUUAGACAUUCGCUGUCGCGACACUUUUUGUAAAUAAUAAUGUUUUCUACAAAGUCGUAGUACAUUCUUUUAUUCUAUCAUGAAUAGUUUUCGCAGGGCACGCGAUAUAAAGAAUAUUUUAGGUAAUUUUUUAUACCUGGGGUUACAUUAUUGGAGUUUUAGUAUCCCUAAUUUUUUUCAAAAAAGAUUAUAAUAGCCUAUGUCACUUGGAAAUAGUGUAGCAUCCAAACAGUGAAACAAUUUUUCAAAUCGGUUCAGUAGUUUCGGAGUUUAUUCAAUACAAACAAACGAACAAAUCUUUCCUCUUUAUAAUAUUAGUAUAGACUAGCGACCGGCAGCUGUAUCACGUAUUUCGCAGACAAUUAGCAGAAGACAAAUAUUGUGCAAAUAUUGCUGUCAACUGUCCAUUUCGUAUUACGGACUUGCAACAAAAAAGCAGAUCGCGGACCAUGACUAGUGCUGCCUCUGCAGAGCGAUUUGUGAAACUUUAGUGCAUUCUUUUCCAUACAACUAACAACAACUGGCCUAAAGUCGGUAUUACGGAUGCUUUUGUUUGCCACACAACAGCAGAUAUUUAGCAAUUUCGUUUGUCAAAUUUGCGACACCUUUUGUAUCUGGUGCUGAAUUGUUGCUAACUAUCUGCAAGUGUAAAAUUUGUGAAAUUAAAUUAUUUUAACUUGAUUUAGGUAAGUGUAAUUGGUUUAGAUCUUUAUUUGUGUUUGUGUUUUCCAUAGUAUUAACAUUAAAUACCACGCUGGGCAAUUUAAGUACAUUAAUAAUGUUGAGGUUAUAAAGUUUAUUUUUUACAAAUUAAUAUUUCUUCUAGGUAUUAGGUAUGUAUGGACAGAGCUCAAAUAAUGGGGCUUUGGAGUCUAAGGAAAUUAGGUCGGAUACAUACGAAUCAGUGCGUUUGCGACGCUGUCUUCGUGAUCAAGCCUGACCCCUUAUUCUAUCGGAAAGUUUGUUCAGAACACAUUACAGAAUUUCGAAACAUCAAUAUUUACAAUUGUGCUCUGAAUUAAAGCCGUUAAUAACCUAGAUCAUCAAGACGAACAAGAAUAGAAAGUAAAAUGCAAGGUUUUACAAUAAAUUUGGUUUUCCUGGGGUUUCGGGGUGUAUAGAUGGCACUCAUUUGCACUUAUCAGAUCUUCUGUAUAUGAAGAAAGGUUUUAGAACCGCAAGCAUUAUCAUUUCAAGAAUGUGCAAAUAAUAUGUGAUAGUGAUCUUAACAUUUUUAGUAUUAAUGCAACAUUUCAUGAUACAUUUGUCUGGCUUAUCACAACUGAAUAUGCCUAUGCAGGACCUGCACCAUAAUAGUGAAAAAGUUUGGUUUUUAGGCAAGUAAAACAUCAUGAGCUCUGUCUCAGUAACCUGACUACAAAAUAAUACUCUAUCUAAAAGUAUAUUUAAAACUGGGAAGGCAGUUAAUAUAUAGUACUAUAGUAAUGUUUAUUGUCAUACCAGGAACACAGUUGACCAUUGUGAGUAUUGAAAGCCAGUUGGAGAUGCUUGUUGGUACAUAGAGUACUGCAUUAUGAUCAUCAUAUUAUGAUGGCCAAGACCAUAAUUGUUAGCUUGUAUUGCAUAACAUGGCAAACACACAUGGGUUUCCAGUGCCCCAACUCUCUGACGAAGAUGCUGAAAUUGAUGUUUCUUAUCAAACUCAUAACAUUGUAUUUUUUGGGAGAGAAGAGGAAACACAGCACUUAGCACCAUGUCAACAUUCAAGGGUGGUUCAAUUGGAUUGUGGAGAACAGACAUUAAAUUUAGUCUCAACCUCUGUAUUCUAGUAAUUUUAUGUAGAUAUUUUGAAAACUGCUGUUCUUAAUUAUGUGAACUGAGAGGGCAAGAAUAGCCUAAUUAUUUGUGUCUAUAAUUUUUUAAUUGUGCUUAGUGGAAAUAUACAUAUUUCCUUAACAUUUUUGUGUUUUUACCUUUACUAUAUAAAGGAUGGAUUCAUAACUAUUUGAAAGCAAAAUUGUGAGGUUGUUUUAUUAAGACAAUGUUUUAAUCUGUCGUGCUCAAUUUGUUCUGUAUCAUUUUAUCUUUAUGUUAACCCCGUUUGUAUGUUGUGUUGUUAUAUAUAUUAUUGUAUAUACUGCUGUUUUGAAUAAUGGAAUAGAAUGAAUAACAAAUCGACUAGUAAUUCAUAAUUCUUCUAAAUUUUGUUGGAUACUUACAUGAAUAUUACUUACAAAAUGAAAAACAUAAUUCAUAAUUUAGACAAAAUGUUGAUCAACCACCACUGAUUUUUGUUCAUUGUGAUAAUAAUAAUAAUAUAAAUAUAAAUACCAGAUAACGGAAAUAAAUGUAGGAUUUUUAUUAUACUUUGGGGAGUCUUAACGACGAAAGGAAGAUCUUCCACCGAGCGGAUGAUAUUGCUCGGUAGACCGACGGUCCGAAUGUUGUUGUUCGGAACUUGUAUAUAUGCGCUUUAUCUUGAAAAUGUCGUAAGCGAGAUUCAGGCAUCUGUCAAUUAUCUUGCGUCGUAUGAUGGCUACCCGCCACAUCACUCCCCUCCGAGACUGAAGGUCGUGUCAUUUUUUUUUUUUUUUAAUUAGCGUUGUCCGUGCUGAGAUUAGCUUGCAAGGGCCAGUGCUGCUCGAAGCCUGCGGUGAGUCGAGGCUGAGCUUGAAUGCUGCGUGCGUGUCGCCAGUGCUGCUCGAAGUCUGCGGUGAGUCGAGACUGAGCUUGAAUGCUGCGUGCGUGUCGCCAGUAGUCCAUGUGUGCAGAGCUGCCACGCCGGAGAUGUGUGACCCCAAGCGUUGAUGAUCCGGUCGUGGGCUGCGAUGAACUGUUGCGGCGUGAUGAGCCAGUGAAGUUGCGUGCCGUAGGACCAGGAAGCGCGGUGAGUCGGCUGCGAUGGUCCUGUUGAGGCUGCGAUGCUGGCUUGCUGUGGGACGACUGUCAAUGACGUGCUUUUAUCUGCGAGAAUGCGGGGAUUGUGGUAGCCGGAGUUCUUGAUGCGCUGAAGAUGAAUCAGAAAGCUGCGAUUGUUCCGUCGGGGUCACCAGUUUGGGGAGUCUUAACGACGAAAGGAAGAUCUUCCACCGAGCGGAUGAUAUUGCUCGGUAGACCGACGGUCCGAAUGUUGUUGUUCGGAACUUGUAUAUAUGCGCUUUAUCUUGAAAAUGUCGUAAGCGAGAUUCAGGCAUCUGUCAAUUAUCUUGCGUCGUAUGAUGGCUACCCGCCACAAUACACAUACAUAUAUUUAAUAUACAUCCCCUGGAAUUCCAAACCCUGGAAAAGACAUUUAUAUUUAUCAUACAAAUAUCUUCCCUUGGCGGGAUUCGAACCCGCGACCCCCUUGUGUAGCGACCAUGUCACUUACCACUACACCAGACGGUCGUUAGAUAAGUUUGAUAAUAAUUUUUUUUGUGUAAUUUUGUUUUAUUUGAAUAAUAAUUCUUAAAUUAGGAAA